GUAGACCCGAAACCGGGUGACCUAUCCAUGAGCAGGUUGAAGCGAAAGUAAAAUUUCGUGGAGGACCGAACCCACGAGCGUUGAAAAGCUCGGGGAUGACUUGUGGAUAGCGGUGAAAUUCCAAUCGAACCCGGAGAUAGCUGGUUCUCCCCGAAAUAGCUUUAGGGCUAGCCUCAGAUUCAGAGAUACGGAGGUAGAGCACUGAAUGUCCUAGGGGGUAUUGCACCUACCGAAGACUAUCAAACUCCGAAUGCCGUCAUCUUUUAUCUGGGAGUCAGACCGUGGGUGAU
rnacentral:rRNA from 1 species